GAAGAAGCGCAUACGGUGGAUGCCUUGGCAGUCAGAGGCGAUGAAAGACGUGGUAGCCUGCGAAAAGCUUCGGGGAGUCGGCAAACAGACUUUGAUCCGGAGAUGUCUGAAUGGGGGAACCCAGCCAUCAUAAGAUGGUUAUCUUGUACUGAAUACAUAGGUGCAAGAGGCGAACCAGGGGAACUGAAACAUCUAAGUACCCUGAGGAAAAGAAAUCAACCGAGAUUCCCUUAGUAGUGGCGAGCGAACGGGGACCAGCCCUUAAGUUGGUUUGAGAUUAGUGGAACGCUCUGGAAAGUGCGGCCAUAGUGGGUGAUAGCCCCGUACACGAAAAUCUCUUAUCAAUGAAAUCGAGUAGGACGGAGCACGAGAAACUUUGUCUGAAUAUGGGGGGACCAUCCUCCAAGGCUAAAUACUACUGACUGACCGAUAGUGAACCAGUACCGUGAGGGAAAGGCGAAAAGAACCCCGGCGAGGGGAGUGAAACAGAACCUGAAACCGUGUACGUACAAGCAGUGGGAGCACGCCUUGAGCGUGUGACUGCGUACCUUUUGUAUAAUGGGUCAGCGACUUAUAUUCUGUAGCAAGGUUAACCGUAUAGGGGAGCCGCAGGGAAACCGAGUCUUAACUGGGCGUUAAGUUGCAGGGUAUAGACCCGAAACCCGGUGAUCUAUCCAUGGGCAGGUUGAAGGUUGGGUAACACUAACUGGAGGACCGAACC
rnacentral:rRNA from 1 species